rnacentral:tRNA from 1 species
GCCGCCGUGGUGAAAUGGCAUACACGACAGACUUAAGAUCUGUUGCUCGCAAGAGCGUGUCGGUUCGAGUCCGACCGGCGGCA